rnacentral:lncRNA from 1 species
AGAAAACUCACCCUCCCUCCUAAACGUCUUCAAAAACCUUCUCCAGAUACUCCAAGUCUCUUCGUGUGAAACUGAAAAAGUCCAAUCCCAAAGUUGGUUUUGAGUGCGUGUAUGUUACGUGUUUUUGUUUUGUUUUUUUUUUUAUUCCUUCCUCUAUUUUUUCUCUGCAUUUACUCCUCCUCUGAGCAUCUUCGACCCGCAGGGCUACCUGGCUGCUAAUAGCGUAGACGUGGCGGGCCUGGGGGUUCCUGUUCGCCUAGCUCACAGCGCCACGCCGACUACACAGCACCGAAGGGCCCCGAAGGCAACCCGGUGGGUAGGGGCGCGGCGGACAGGACGUGGGGGCAACUCUAGCGUAUCUCGGGAAGCCGGGGUGGACCGCCGGGCCAAACACUCCUGAGCAGAAAAGGAGAGAUGCUGGCGGGAAGCGGGGAGCAGGGGGCGGGGGGGCGGACACAAAGGCGGAAGCAGAGAAUACCUUGGCCCAGCUCCUGAACCUGCUCCUGCCAGCCAUCCGUCUUUGCUCCGCGGAGGGUCGAUCCACCAACCUAGGCAUUUUCGAACGGCAAAGUGGAGACCAAAAAGGGGGCGCAGGGGCUAACCGCUGGGAUUGGGAAACGGUGAAGGCGGGUCCCAGAUGCAGCAGGGGCUCGGCAGGUUCUGGAAUGGGGAGAAGGGGGACUGCGGAAGUCCAGGGAAGCCUGCGGCCCAAGCCCGAAGGCUGUACUGAGGCCUCUCCAAGGUGAGAGGGGGAGCAUAGAGAGCAGGUUUCUACAUAAUAAGAAUUCACCCACUUGGGGAUUGCUAGUCUGGGUCCCGAGUUUCGCAUUCCUGAACAGUGUGUUGGAAACUCUGUUGCAGAAACAUUUGGACUUAUUUUAAGCCUUUAUUUUAAAAAAAUAAGUAACUUUAAAUAAAUGCUCCGGGUUCCCUGCCUACCUGGAGACAACCGAG